GACGAACGCUGGCGGCGUGCUUAACACAUGCAAGUCGAACGGGCCCGCCCCUGGUUUUGGGGGUGGGUUGAGUGGCGAACGGGGGAGUACCACGUGAGUAACCUGCCCCCUGCUCCUGGAUAACUGCUUGAAAGGGCGGCUAAUACGGGGUGUGCCGGCUGGUCCGCAUGGGCCUGGUCGGGAUAGUUUCAUCUUCGGGUGUUUCGGUGGUGGAUGGGCUCGUGGCCUAUCAGCUUGUUGGUGGGGCGAUGGCCCACUAGGGCGGUGAGGGGUGGCCUGCCUGAGUGGGUGGGCGGCCACGCUGGGACUGAGACACGGCCCUGAUUCGUGCGGGAGGCGGGGGUGGGGGGUGUUGCAGGAUGGGCGGAAGCCUGAGGCAGCGACGGCGCGUGAGGGAUGGAGGCGUUCGGGUUGGGAACCUCUUUCGGCGGUGGGGAAGGCCCUGUCCGAUGCGGCGGGGUUGACGGUAGCCGGGUAUGAAGCGCCGGCUAACUACGUG
rnacentral:rRNA from 1 species